rnacentral:lncRNA from 1 species
AGAAGCUGGUGGGAGUACCUGGGUUGUUUUCUUUGUGCAGACUUCUUCCUACAGAGAUGGGGGGUAGCACUUGAGGCCUCAGGCAUCUUGUCUGCCUUGCUGGAUGUUCUGCUUGUGGGAGGGAGUAAGAGUUUCAGUUGGAAUAUGGAAAAAAGAUGUGGAGAGAAGCUGCCAUCCAAAAAUCUGACACCAGAAAUUUCCUGCUCUUCUUCCUAGAACUAAAGCCAACUGUACUUGUGUGCAACAUCACAAAUACUCCCAAAUAUUUGUAUUGCUUAAAUGAUAUGGACUAAUGACUGAAACCAUUAAGACAUUAGAUAGGGUAAGGAGUAAGUCUCUAAAAUGCUCAAAUAUAAUGAAGAUCACACAGUAUGGUUAAAUAUAUAAAUGAUGUGUACUACAUCUUCUGAGUUGCAUCUUAGCUGAGCUCUGGCUGGUGUAGGGACUUAUGUAUAAUGACCUUCUGUGCCAAUGGACACAGUUACAGGAGCAUUAAUAUCUGUGUGUAGUCUGGCUGAGAGUGAGAAUUAAUGUGUGUAGAGCCAGGAGCUGUGCAGAAGCCUUGACAUGUGCUUGGAACCAUGCGGAUUCUGACCCUAACUCUGGGUUGCGCCCUCUUGGCAUCUUCCAGUUUCCAUGAUGAUGUCCUUCUGGGGAGGAGAGAAAUCUAUCUGUUGUUUUGAGACUAGCAGUGCUUGACACAUGGUGUAUGGAAAGUCAAGUCCUGCUUUGCAUUUAGAUGUAAUAAAUGCAGUGUAGCUCUCAGCUGACUUUAAUUUUAUUGAUGUAGUUAACAAAAUCUGGUUCAACACGCUUGCUCUGCAUGACUUUCUUACAAUGACUGAUUUGUUUGCUUUUGAGUAUUAUAUUCACUCUGUAUGGUAGAAUUAUAUGCGAUCCUUUGGGGCAGAAAAGUCUACUUGCAAAAAAAAUCUUGAAAUAUGAGCUAACUAAUGCUUCUUAGUCUGCAAAAUGUUCCUAAUCAAAUGGAUCUACUAAGAGCAUUUAAUUUUUGGAAUCCAACUAACCUUCAUGUUCAAAGUUAUGGAGCUUUUCCUGAAAUAGAAAAGCUAAUAUUACCUUAUUCUGAAGCUGGAUGUGCUGAAAAAUUCCUGGAUAAAACAAUUAGCUACAGAAAAUAAGGACACUUUGUUUACCAGCAGCUAUGGGGUUUGCUUUAUAAAAAAUUAAACAGAAGAUCUUAGGAAAAUGCUUCCAGAAAUAUUCAGAAGCAACGCAAAGGUUUUUCUUCUUAUGCUUUGUGAAGAUAUUUCUACCAUCUUUCUGAAUCAAAACUUGAGUAAUCUCUUGUUCAGUCUCUGCCUCUGAGAUGUAUAAAAGCUUGUACUUUGAGGCAAUCUCCACAGGUCUGCAAUCUGGCCCUGAGCUGGAUCUCUACAGCAGCUGGCAGGCAGCUUUCAGCAUGUUCUGCAGUACUUCUGUUAAGUGAAUUGUACUUAAUGCAUAGAGUGCAUAUUCUACGUAUACUCUACAUUAAAUUUCAGUGCUAUGCAGUGUGAGUUGAACACAGUUCUCCAAUAUGUAGUUGAUAGGUUUUUAUAGAUGUCUCUUUAGUUUUUGUCACUAGCAUUCUAUUUGCAGACAAGACUUUUCCAUUCCUGUAACCCUGCUUAUCUAAAUGAGGCAUGCUUGGAGAAGCACUUAGAAAUGCUGAAAUGUUGCUAAGCAGGAAGCUUUAAGCAUGGAGUAUGAAAUGGGGCACAGUAUUUAUGCUUUACUUUCUAAGUGUGUAUUUCUACACCUGUUUUUCCUAACUUCACACUGAGGGUUGGUGUGGGUUUUCUUGUUUGUUUGUUUUUAGAAGCAUGUGUUUUGAAAAGUAUUUGAAAAUGUAAAAUCAAUGCUAAGAAAGUUUGUACAAAUCCUGCCAAGGCUGAAGGAUCACAGUCUGAAUGGAGAAGAAUAUGGGUUAAAUGAAGCCUGGGAUAAA